UACGAAGGGGGCUAGCGUUGCUCGGAAUCACUGGGCGUAAAGGGUGCGUAGGCGGGUCUUAAGUCAGGGGUGAAAUCCUGGAGCUCAACCUCGGAACUGCCUUUGAUACUGCAAAUCUCGAGUCCGGAAGAGGUGAGUGGAAUUCCUAGUGUAGAGGUGAAAUUCGUAGAUAUUAGGAAGAACACCAGUGGCGAAGGCGGAUCUCUGGGCCGAUACUGACGCUGAGGAGCGAAAGCGUGGGGAGCGAACGAGGA
rnacentral:rRNA from 1 species